rnacentral:lncRNA from 1 species
UCUGAGGCACUAAGUCACCAUAAAUCCGACUUGGGAAGUUCCGAAAUAAACGGAACCGGAGAUUACAUCACUUAUCAUCACAGGAACAUCCACUGAACGGAUGACAACCAGAUCCUCUGAACAAGUACUCUCAAAUUCACCCCGGGGAUCCGAAAUAAACGGAACCCGCUGAUAGAUAUCACAGACAGAAUUCCGGCGUGACAGGAGUAAGUACCCAAAGUCACCUCCAGUAACCAGAGUCACCAACAAGUCACCAACGGUACCUGUAAU